CAAGCCUCGUUCAGCAGGGUGCUUCAGCAAGGGUGCUUGAUUCUACUACCCGUCGACCCAUUAGAGGAGCGACGCGGUUGUAGAGUCACGCACCUCUGUUGAGCACCCUGCUCGGAGUAAAGAU
rnacentral:miRNA from 19 species